rnacentral:rRNA from 1 species
AUUGAACGCUGGCGGCAGGCCUAACACAUGCAAGUCGAACGAGUGGCGGACGUGUGAGUAAUGUCUGGGAAACUGCCUGAUGGAGGGGGAUAACUAAUGGAAACGGUAGCUAAUACAGCAUACCAUCAGAUGUGCCCAGAUGGGAUUAGCUAGUUGGUGGGGUAAGGGCUAACCAAGGCGACGAUCCCUAGCUGGUCUGCGAGGAUGACCGGCCACACUGGAACUGAGACACGGUCCAGACGCCUACUAGCGGCAGUAGUGGGGAAUAUUGCACAAUGGGCGCAAGCCGGAUGCAGCCAUGCCGCGUGUAUGAAGAAGGCCUUCGGAUUGUAAAGGACUUUCAGCGGGGAGGCGUUAACCGCAGAAGAAGCACCGGCUAACUCCGUGCCAGCAGCCGCGGUAAUUC